UACGUAGGGGGCGAGCGUUGUCCGGAGUUACUGGGCGUAAAGGGCAUGCAGGCGAUCGGACGCGUUUUGUGUGACAGCGGGUGGCUCAACUACGCGAGCAUACGAAAGACGGUUUGACUUGAGGGCUCGAGAGGGACACGGAAUUCCGGGUGGAGUGGUGAAAUGCGUAGAGAUCCGGAGGAACACCGAAGGCGAAGGCAGUGUCCUGGCGAGUGACUGACGCUGAGGUGCGAAAGCCAGGGGAGCGAACGGG
rnacentral:rRNA from 1 species